rnacentral:lncRNA from 1 species
CAACAUCAACAUCCUCUCAAACAUAUGUAAAUACUGCUCAAUGAACCACAAAGACUGACCACUCAGAUCAACUAGGAUGGAACGACUCUACAUCCUCUCAACUGUAUGCAGAUACUGAUCAUUAGGUCAACUACUGUAUAUAAGCAAGAAUCGAUCAACAAGUCAUCUAAGUAUAUAAUCUAGAACUACCGUCGGCCACUAGCCGACAAUCCGACCCCUCAGGGUACACCGACCUCAAAGGUCAUCAAACGACAGACAUCACGGAACCGACCGACUAGGUCACCGAUCUCACAAGAAAUCACAAAACCGCUCUACUCUAAACAUGAAACAGGAUAUGCAGAAU